UACGUAGGUGGCAAGCGUUGUCCGGAUUUACUGGGCGUAAAGAGCGCGCAGGCGGUCGAUUUAGUCGCGUGUGAAAGCCCCCGGCUCAACUGGGGAGGGUCACGCGAUACUGAUCGACUCGAAGGCAGGAGAGGGUAGUGGAAUUCCCGGUGUAGUGGUGAAAUGCGUAGAUAUUGGGAGGAACACCAGUGGCGAAGGCGACUACCUGGCCUGUUCUUGACGCUGAGGCGCGAAAGCUAGGGGAGCAAACGGG
rnacentral:rRNA from 1 species